GCUGUCCGUGUGGGAUCAGUGGGCUGUCUGUAUGGGAUCAGCAGGCUGUUCCUAUGGGAUCAGCAGGAUCUCACUAUGGGAUCAGUGGGCUGUCUGUAUGGGAUCAGAAGGUUGUCCGUGUGGGAUCAGUGGGCUGUCUGUAUGGGAUCAGCAGGAUCUCACUAUGGGAUCAGUAGGAUCUCUCUAUGGGAUCAGCAGGAUCUCACUAUGGGAUCAGCAGGCUGUCCGUGUGGGAUCAGUGGGCUGUCUGUAUGGGAUGAGGCGGCUGUCCGUAUGGGAUCAGUGGGCUGUCUGUAUGGGAUCAGCAGGAUCUCACUAGGGGAUCAGUAGGCUGUCUGUAUGGGAUCAGAAGGUUGUCCGUGUGGGAUCAGUGGGCUGUCUGUAUGGGAUCAGCAGGAUCUCACUAUGGGAUCAGUAGGAUCUCUCUAUGGGAUCAGCAGGAUCUCACUAUGGGACCACCAGGCUGUCCGUAUGGGAUCAGUGGGCUGUCUGUAUGGGAUGAGUAGGAUGUCACUAUGGGAUCAGCAGGCUGUCACUAUGGGAUCACCGCAACGUCACCAUGGGAUCAGAAGGCUGUCUGUAUGGGAUCACCAGGAUGUCCCUAUGGGAUCACCAAGCUGUCCCUAUGAGAUCAGCAGGAUGUCACUAUGGGAUCAGCAGGCUGUCUGUAUGGGAUCAGCAGACUGUCCCUAUGGGAUCUGUAGGCUGUCCGUAUGGGAUCAGAAGGCUGACCUAAUGGGAUCAGUGGGCUGUCUGUAUGGGAUCAGCAGGCUGUUCCUAUGGGAUCAGUAGGAUCUCUCUAUGGGAUCAGCAGGAUCUCACUAUGGGAUCAGCAG
rnacentral:lncRNA from 1 species